AGGGUUUGAUCAUGGCUCAGAACGAACGCUGGUGGCGUGCUUAACACAUGCAAGUCGAACGAGAAAGUUUCCUUCGGGAAAUUAGUAAAGUGGCGCAAGGGUGAGUAUCACGUGAAUAAUCUGCCCUCGAGAUCGGGAUAACAUGGUGAAAACUAUGCUAAUACCGGAUAAGACCACAUUUCAUAGGAAAUGCGGUAAAAGGAGUCUCAAUCUUCACUCGAGGAUGAGUUCGCGCAACAUUAGCUUGUUGGUGAGAUAAAAGCUCACCAAGGCUACGAUGUUUAGCCGGCCUGAGAGGGUGAUCGGCCACACUGGAACUGAGACACGGUCCAGACUCCUACGGGAGGCAGCAGUGGGGAAUAUUGCGCAAUGGGCGAAAGCCUGACGCAGCAACGCCGUGUGAGCGAUGAAGGCUUUAGGGUCGUAAAGCUCUGUCAAAUGGGAAGAAUUUUGACGGUACCAUUAGAGGAAGCCCCGGCUAACUCCGUGCCAGCAGCCGCGGUAAUACGGAGGGGGCAAGCGUUGUUCGGAAUUAUUGGGCGUAAAGCGUAUGUAGGCGGUUAAACAAGUCAGGCGUGCAAGCCCGUGGCUCAACCACGGAAUUGCGUUUGAAACUGUUUAACUUGAGUACAGGAGAGGAAAG
rnacentral:rRNA from 1 species